UGACAGAAGAAGGGUUUCCGUUUUCGGUUUGUCUUCGUCUUCACCACCACAACAUCUGUUACUGGCAGCGGUGUUAUUUUUCUGCCUCUUGGCUUAUGUCACUGUUGGGGCGGGCUUGUGGAGGACUGGACUGACACACUACUAACAUGUUUGGCUUUACAGCGAUCCAGGGUAUAACUCUCAAAAUGGAUCUUUACAAACUCUUCGUGAUGCAGCACAUCAGAUCACGUUAGUAUGGCAUGUAUUUUGUGGAUGCUUGUUAAAAUUUGAUUCUGAAUAUAAAGUAUUAUGACUUAUGCAUGAUGGAUUAUGUUGCAUGAGUGAUGUGUAUGUGCUAUUAUGUAAAAUUCACUGUUGUCUACACAGUUUACAUUACAUGAAUGCAAGUAAUGUAAAUAAACAAAUGUACACAACUAGACAGACAUAAGUUAUCUAUUUUAUUUGUCCGCUAGUACUUUUAAUAAAACAAGGAACAUUUGUGUUGGAUAAAAAGUGAGUUAAAACAAAUCUUCAACUACGUCAACAUGUAAAUGUAGAUUUGAACACAUAAAUCUCAGAGGAAACUUGAAUCUUGUCUGAUGUUACAGGGACAGAAAUGAAUACAAAGUCUAUUUAAAUCUUAAGUUGUAGUUUAUUUUAUUUUAUUGUAAUUUCAAACAGAGUUAUUACAGCACUUUUCUGAUUCUUGAUGUCAGUGCAUUUGUUGCAGAGCUUUGUGUUGGAGCAGGACCUGUGAGGAAAGAUGACUGUGGCAUUUGUGGAAAAAAGAAGGGAAAAAAAGAUAAUUUUGUUACUUCUAAUACAGAAAUCAGAUGACAUUGUGCUGCUAAAAUGACUGCUUUUGUAUUAUAUUUGUGCAUUAUUGUAGGAUGUGAAAUGUCCUCAGACGGGUGUGAGCAGUGAGGAUGGAGAACCACAGCAGAUCCUGGGAAUGGUUCAGUGUCAUGGACAAGAUCCUCCAUCACUCCUCCUGCCCUUACUGCCUCAUCUGGACUGAUGUUGAUGUGAUUUCUUCAUCCUCAGGAUGAUCCCAUUGGAGUAACCUGGAGUGUCUGGAUCAAGCACACACUGGUGGAGACGCUGCAGAGAUCGAAAAAGCAAACCUUCUGCUGACCAGCUCAGUGGUUUAACCCACCACACCACAAAAUCAUGCUGAUGGAGAGCACAUGAAUGUUUGCAGCAGCAGAUUGUCCCGCACAUCUUCUCCCACUCUUGCUUCAAGGUUGUGGGGUUCAGGGGUCCAUUAUCAUCAUCAUCUUCCUCAUCCUCUGGAUCAACGAUGUCUCCAUUGAGAAGAGCAGCAGUGAGGGACAUGAUGGAUGAAGGUGUUCAUCAGCUGCUUCAUCAGAAUAAAGCUGCAGAAUUGUGUGAGAUGGCAGCAGGACUGUAAAUACCUGAUUGUUAGAUCAAUACAUUUGAAUAAAGCUUUGUUUUGUGUGUUGUUGACUUG